rnacentral:rRNA from 1 species
CUUUACUGUAGCCUGGUAUUGGGUUCGGGCUUUGACUGCGCAGGAUAGGUGGGAGACUAUGAAGCUGCCCUUGUGGGGGCAGUGGAGUCAUCAGUGAGAUACCACUCUGUCAAGGCUAGAAUUCUAACCGUCUGCCGUUAUCCGGCGACGGAACAGUAUCAGGUGGGCAGUUUGACUGGGGCGGUCGCCUCCUAAAUGGUAACGGAGGCGCGCAAAGGUUCCCUCAGGCUGGUUGGAAAUCAGCCGAAGAGUGCAAAGGCAGAAGGGAGCUUGACUGCAAGAGCAACAACUCAAGCAGGGACGAAAGUCGGCCUUAGUGAUCCGACGGCGCUGAGUGGAAGGGCCGUCGCUCAACGGAUAAAAGUUA